rnacentral:rRNA from 1 species
ACGGAAGGCAGCAGUGGGGAAUAUUGCGCAAUGGGGGAAACCCUGACGCAGCAACGCCGCGUGCAGGAAGAAGGUCUUCGGAUUGUAAACUGUUGUCGCGAGGGAAGAAGAAAGUGACGGUACCUCGUGAGAAAGUCACGGCUAACUACGUGCCAGCAGCCGCGGUAAUACGUAGGUGACAAGCGUUGUCCGGAUUUACUGGGUGUAAAGGGCGCGUAGGCGGACCGGCAAGUCAGGAGUGAAAUACCGGGGCUCAACCCCGGGGCUGCUUUUGAAACUGUCGGCCUUGAGUAUCGGAGAGGAAAGCGGAAUUCCCAGUGUAGCGGUGAAAUGCGUAGAUAUUGGGAGGAACACCAGUGGCGAAGGCGGCUUUCUGGACGACAACUGACGCUGAGGCGCGAAAGUGUGGGGAGCAAACAGGAUUAGAUACCCUGGUA